UCUCGAUCAAGGGACUGGUCUCCUGCCUCCGCCUGGGGUCCCACGAGUCUGGCGGCCAAGUCGCUCUUCUCACAGAAAAUGGCUUGGUCACGGGGCACGUCCUUUUGUCUGGCCCCUCAGCGACAACAAUAAACCCUAUUUGUCCAGAUUAGCACGAGAGCUAUCAAUUCAUGGAUUCUGCCUUGUGUGAACUACUGGAUGAAAUUUGGGGGCUACAGAGAUCUUGAUUCACUCAGUUAAUUAAACUACUCAUUCAGCAGAUGAUCGAUUGAGAGCCAACAUUAAAAACAAGACUAAGAGUUCGAGGAAUGGGACUGAAUUCUAACCCUCUAAUCACGUGGUUGGCUCUUCUGGCAACAAUCCUCCACCCUGAAGCGUCUAGAGGCCCACCAAGACUCACCUUAUUAGCAUUAACUCAGAUCACCAUGUGGGGAGCAGUAUGAGCUUGGACUUGGUAACAAAUGUACCCAAAAGGUAACCCCAAGAAUAGACGUAAGUGUCAUUUGUGGUGAGUAUGUUCUGAGGAGUAGAAUUUCUGGGUCAUUCUUUCUAAAAUUAUAAUUUCUCAUGGUAAAACAAAGUAACAACUGUUAAUAGCUUCUGCCACAGUAUCAUAUAUUAAAAUGGUUUAAGGCUAACACUGUAAUUAAGCUUUCCAAAUCAGGAACAUGACAUUACUUAUUCCCAAAUAAUUAAUCAAAAAAUAUAGACAAAUUUUAUGUACAGAGAUUCAUUUCAAAAUUGUCUAAAACAACAGCAAUGACAAAUCUGGAAACAUCUUGAAUAUCCAAACAUAGUAACAACUGAGUAAAUGAUUAUACAUCAUACAACAUGAUGUACAUAAUGAAACAAACUUCUACCAGUAUGAUUUUUAAUGACAUGGAGAAAGUAUAAAGACAGUAUAUUCUUUAUUAUGUUAAAAAAAAAGUAUAUAGUUUCAUUUAUGUCCCGCUCAAAUUUCAACCCUUUAGAUAAGCCUUCCCUGGCUAUUGAUUAUAACAGCAUUUUGCUGCCACUUUCUUUCCUUAUAUGACAUCUUAAUUUUUUUGUAGUAUUAUCACUCCCUGAAAAUUCUUUUUGUUAGUUUCUUUAUUCAUUGUCUUUCUCACUCUGCUAGAAUGUAAACUACAUCCUGCCUUUUUCUUUGCUGCUGUAUCACACAAUGUCUCGAAACAUGUUGAGUGUAUAAAUGUGUUCAAAAUGCAAUUAUUAAAUGAAUGGGCAUGAUGUUCAGAAAACACUGAGAAGAACUACACUGAAAUGUUAACAAUGGUUCAAUUUGAGUGAUGGAAUUAUAGGCCAUUUUACUUUCUCUUCAUGUUUUUUAUCCAAGAUUUUCCUUAAUAUUCCUACUAUCCUUGAGAGGAAAACCGAAAAAUGGAAUAAAAAUAAAGACAUAACAU